UACAGAGGGUGCGAGCGUUAAUCGGAAUUACUGGGCGUAAAGCGUGCGUAGACGGUAGCGUAAGUCAGAUGUGAAAGCCCCGGGCUCAACCUGGGAAUUGCAUUUGAGACUGCUCUGCUCGGGUGCGGAAGAGGGAAGCGGAAUUUCCGGUGUAGCGGUGAAAUGCGUAGAUAUCAGGAGGAACACCGGUGGCGAAGGCGGAUCUCUGGGCCAUUACUGACGCUGAGGAGCGAAAGCGUGGGGAGCGAACAGG
rnacentral:rRNA from 1 species